GAUGAACGCUGGCGGCGUGCCUAAUACAUGCAAGUCGAGCGAACGGACGAGAAGCUUGCUUCUCUGAUGUUAGCGGCGGACGGGGGAGUAAAACGUGGAUAACCUACCUAUAAGACUGGGAUAACUUCGGGAAACCGGAGCUAAUACCGGAUAAUAUUUUGAACCGCAUGGUUCAAAAGUGAAAGACGGUCUUGCUGUCACUUAUAGAUGGAUCCGCGCUGCAUUAGCUAGUUGGUAAGGUAACGGCUUACCAAGGCAACGAUGCAUAGCCGACCUGAGAGGGUGAUCAGCCACACUGGAACUGAGACACGGUCCAGACUCCUACGGGAGGCAGCAGUAGGGAAUCUUCCGCAAUGGGCGAAAGCCUGACGGAGCAACGCCGCGUGAGUGAUGAAGGUCUUCGGAUCGUAAAACUCUGUUAUUAGGGAAGAACAUAUGUGUAAGUAACUGUGCACAUCUUGACGGUACCUAAUCAGAAAGCCACGGCUAACUACGUG
rnacentral:rRNA from 1 species